GAACAUAUCAUGUGUUGACUAAUCAUGAAAACCAUAUCUUCGUUAUCUCAUCGUGUCAUAUACUCUGUGAUGCCAAACGUCCAAACCGAACAAAUCAUUAAGUCACGCAAAUGGGCCCACGCAAGAUAUGGGCUGGAUUUUGUGACAUUGAUGCCAAAACCUGAUUGGUUACACUUACAUCAGAUGUUAUCUGCAUGUGAUGAUAUAUUUUUCUUUUCUUU
rnacentral:lncRNA from 1 species